CCUACGGGAUGCAGCAGUGGGGAAUAUUGCUCAAUGGUCGGAACACUGAAGCAGCAACGCCGCGUGAGGGAGGAAGGUUUUCGGAUUGUAAACUCCUUUUGUUAGGGAAGAAAAUGCCGGUAUCUAACGCCUAAUGACCGGCCAACACCGUACUAGCAGCCGCGGUAAUACGGAGGGUGCAAAGGUUACUCGGAAUCACUGGGCGUAAAGAGGGCGUAGGCGGGGUAGCAAGUCAGAUGUGAAAGACUAUGGCUUAAACCUAGAACUGCAGUUGAAACUGUUAUUCUAGAGUAGGGGAGAGGUAGGCGGAAUUCGUGGUGUAGGGGUAAAAUGCGUAGAGAUCAGGAGGAAUACUGAUUGCGAAGGCGACAUGCUGGCUCCAAACUGACGCUGAGGCGCGAAAGCGUGGGUAGCAAACAGGAUUAGAUACCCCAGUAGUC
rnacentral:rRNA from 1 species